rnacentral:rRNA from 1 species
AAACCAACUGGGAUUACCUUAGUAACGGCGAGUGAAGCGGUAAAAGCUCAAAUUUGAAAUCUGGUACUUUCAGUGCCCGAGUUGUAAUUUGUAGAAUUUGUCUUCGAUUAGGUCCUUGUCUAUGUUCCUUGGAACAGGACGUCAUAGAGGGUGAGAAUCCCGUUUGGCGAGGAUACCUUUUCUCUGUAAGACUUUUUCGAAGAGUCGAGUUGUUUGGGAAUGCAGCUCAAAGUGGGUGGUAAAUUCCAUCUAAAGCUAAAUAUUGGCGAGAGACCGAUAGCGAACAAGUACAGUGAUGGAAAGAUGAAAAGAACUUUGAAAAGAGAGUGAAAAAGUACGUGAAAUUGUUGAAAGGGAAGGGCAUUUGAUCAGACAUGGUGUUUUUGCAUGCACUCGCCUCUCGUGGGCUUGGGCCUCUCAAAAAUUUCACUGGGCCAACAUCAAUUUUGGCGCAGGAAAAUCUUUGGAAUGUAGCUACCUCGGUAUGUUAUAGCCUUUGAAAUACUGUCAGCUGGGA